rnacentral:rRNA from 1 species
GACGAACGCUGGCGGCGUGCUUAACACAUGCAAGUCGAACGGGAUCCAUGGAGUAGCAAUACUCUGGAAGAUCUAGUGGCGAACGGGUGAGUAACACGUGAGCAACCAGCCCCAAAGACUGGGAUAACCCCGGGAAACCGGAGCUAAUACCGGAUGUCCUCAUUAGAUCGCAUGGUCAUAUGAGGAAAUGAAUUUUCGCUUUGGGAGGGGCUCGCGGGCUAUCAGUGUUGGUGGGGUAAUGGCCUACCAAGACAUCGACGGCUAGCUGGUCUGAGAGGACGAUCAGCCACACUGGGACUGAGACACGGCCCAGACUCCUACGGGAGGCAGCAGUGGGGAAUCUUGCCCAAUGGGCGAAAGCCUGAGCAGCAACGCCGCGUGCGGGAUGACGGCC